rnacentral:rRNA from 1 species
UACGUAGGGUGCAAGCGUUGUCCGGAAUUAUUGGGCGUAAAGAGCUCGUAGGCGGUUUGUCACGUCUGCUGUGAAAUCCCGAGGCUCAACCUCGGGCCUGCAGUGGGUACGGGCAGACUGGAGUGCGGUAGGGGAGAAUGGAAUUCCUGGUGUAGCGGUGGAAUGCGCAGAUAUCAGGAGGAACACCGGUGGCGAAGGCGGGUCUCUGGGCAACAACUGACGCUGAGGAGCGAAAGCGUGGGGAGCGAACAGG